rnacentral:rRNA from 1 species
CACGUAGGGUGCGAGCGUUGUCCGGAAUUAUUGGGCGUAAAGAGCUCGUAGGCGGUGUGUCGCGUCGGCCGUGAAAACUUGCAGCUUAACUGUGGGCGUGCGGUCGAUACGGGCAUCACUGGAGUUCGGCAGGGGAGACUGGAAUUCCUGGUGUAGCGGUGAAAUGCGCAGAUAUCAGGAAGAACACCAAUGGCGAAAGCAGCUUUCUGGGACGGUACUGACGCUGAGACGCGAAAGCGUGGGGAGCGAACAGG